rnacentral:lncRNA from 1 species
UUUGAAAUCACAAGCAAAGAAAGUUUUUUUUUUGGAAAAUGGGGAGAUAUUUUUAAAUUUAAGAAGUGGGAGGAGAUGAAGAGACUAAUCCUAAACAUAAAAUUAAAAGUUAAGAGUUGAAAAGAUCUGACUAAUGGGAUGCAAUCCAACAGACAAGAAUGUCAGAUAGAAAACCCAUUUUCCCUUUGGACAUAGAAUCA